CUGGUCAUCAUAUUAUGGAAAUAUUUGUGACUGAAUCCCAUCUGAAUGUUGGAUGACAUAUAUCAAGAUGACACUGAACAGGACAUAACUGAGGAAAAUGGAUGUGAGAUAAUCCAAUCUAACAGUUGGAAAUAAAUAUAUAUAGUAUUUA